AUUGAACGCUGGCGGCAUGCCUUACACAUGCAAGUCGAACGGCAGCACGGGUGCUUGAACCUGGUGGCGAGUGGCGAACGGGUGAGUAAUACAUCGGAACAUGUCCUGUAGCGGGGGAUAGCCCGGCGAAAGCCGGAUUAAUACCGCAUACGAUCUACGGAUGAAAGCGGGGGACCUUCGGGCCUCGCGCUAUAGGGUUGGCCGAUGGCUGAUUAGCUAGUUGGUGGGGUAAAGGCCUACCAAGGCGACGAUCAGUAGCUGGUCUGAGAGGACGACCAGCCACACUGGGACUGAGACACGGCCCAGACUCCUACGGGAGGCAGCAGUGGGGAAUUUUGGACAAUGGGCGAAAGCCUGAUCCAGCAAUGCCGCGUGUGUGAAGAAGGCCUUCGGGUUGUAAAGCACUUUUGUCCGGAAAGAAAUCCUUGGCCCUAAUACGGUCGGGGGAUGACGGUACCGGAAGAAUAAGCACCGGCUAACUACGUG
rnacentral:rRNA from 1 species